UUGAACGCUGGCGGCAUGCUUUACACAUGCAAGUCGAGCGGCAGCGCGGGGCAACCUGGCGGCGAGCGGCGAACGGGUGAGUAACAUAUCGGAACGUACCCUAUCGUGGGGGAUAACACAUCGAAAGAUGUGCUAAUACCGCAUACGACCUGAGGGUGAAAGCGGGGGAUCGCAAGACCUCGCGCGACAGGAGCGGCCGAUAUCGGAUUAGCUAGUUGGUGAGGUAAAGGCUCACCAAGGCGACGAUCCGUAGCUGGUCUGAGAGGACGACCAGCCACACUGGAACUGAGACACGGUCCAGACGCCUACGGGAGGCAGCAGUGGGGAAUUUUGGACAAUGGGCGCAAGCCUGAUCCAGCCAGGCCGCGUGAGUGAAGAAGGCCGGCGGGUUGUAAAGCUCUUUCAGACGGAAAGAAAGCGGGCGGGUGAAUAGCCUGCCUGGAUGACGGUACUGUCAGGAGAAGCACCGGCUAACUACGU
rnacentral:rRNA from 1 species